CAAUAUCAUUAAAGGGUGAACCCUUAACCAAUUUGCUGUGUUCUCCGUGAUUUCGGACGUGCUCUCUCUGAGAUGUAGGGCCCUCACUACAACAAAAACGGUCUAUAGCGACACUUUUAAAUGUAGGUACAUGUCAAAAAAGUGCUGCUAGCUAAAAUUACCGACACUUUUAAAAUGUGUUGCUAUAUGUGGGGUCGCUAGAUAUAUAGUGACAGUUAAAGAGUGUCGCUAUAACCUAAAAGAGUGCUGCUAAUUUACCAAUACUUAUUUAACCAUUUAGCAACCAUCGAAACUCAAUCUCGUUGGCUGCGGCGGCGGAGGAGGACGACAGGAAAGGCUCUUCGUCUAGAAUUUCAGUGGAUUGAGUGAAAAGAGAAGAAAAGAUGGUAAUUGAUUUUUCUUUUUUUUUUUUCUGUUUGUAAUGGGGCCAAAUGGACUGGGUGUGGUGGGUUGAGUAGAGUAAUCUUUUAUUUUUGGUUGGAUUGGAUUUUAUAUUUAGGCAUUAGUAGAUAUUUUUUUAAGUUUUAGCAUAAAUGGGACACUUACUCAAAAGUGUCCCAAACAUGUGUCGCUAAAACCUAAUUCUGUUGUAGUGCCUAUCCUUCUCUCGCAUACUGUGGUCUCUCUGAGAUAUGGGGCCUAUCCUUCUCCCUAUUCAUCCUCCUCCUAUGCUACUCUCUCUUACCCUCUCUCUUUUUCUUCUCUCGCCGCCUCUACAGAUUUUCCGGGAUUCCUCUUCCCCUCUCAACGAACCCUAACCCUUUCUCAUUUUCUUUUCUCUCCGCCUCUACAGAUUUUUCGGGAUUCCUCUCCCCCUCUCAACGAACCCUAAUUUCGCCUAGGGUUAGUACUCCCUCUGGCGCAUUUAAUGCCACCGCGAGAACGUCCCUUCCC
rnacentral:lncRNA from 1 species